CCGUCUCUAGCUCAACUGGCAGAGCAGCGGCCUCUUAAGCCGAAGGUUCUGGGUUCGAUUCCCAGGAGACGGA
rnacentral:tRNA from 1 species